rnacentral:rRNA from 1 species
AUUGAACGCUGGCGGCAGGCCUAACACAUGCAAGUCGAGCGGCAGCGGGACCUUCGGGUUGCCGGCGAGCGGCGGACGGGUGAGUAAUGCCUAGAAUCUGCCCGUUUGUGGGGGGUAACGGGGGGAAACUCGCGCUAAUACCGCCUUCGGUCUACGGGAGGAAGUGGGGGGCCCUCGGGCCUCACGCUCACCGCAUAGCCUAGGUCGGAUUAGCUAGGUGGUGGGGUAAAGGCCCACCAAGGCGACGAUCCGUAACUGGUCUGAGAGGAUGAUCAGUUACACUGGAACUGAGACACGGUCCAGACUCCUACGGGAGGCAGCAGUGGGGAAUAUUGGACAAUGGGCGAAAGCCUGAUCCAGCCAUGCCGCGUGUGUGAAGAAGGUCUUCGGAUUGUAAAGCACUUUAAGUUGGGAGGAAGGGCGCUCGGUGAAUACCCAGGCGUCUUGACGUUACCGACAGAAUAAGCACCGGCUAACUUCGUGCCAGCCGCCGCGGUAA